UGGGGAAUAUUGCACAAUGGGCGAAAGCCUGAUGCAGCAACGCCGCGUGAGCGAUGAAGGCCUUCGGGUCGUAAAGCUCUGUCCUCAAGGAAGAUAAUGACGGUACUUGAGGAGGAAGCCCCGGCUAACUACGUGCCAGCAGCCGCGGUAAUACGUAGGGGGCUAGCGUUAUCCGGAAUUACUGGGCGUAAAGGGUGCGUAGGUGGUUUCUUAAGUCAGAGGUGAAAGGCUACGGCUCAACCGUAGUAAGCCUUUGAAACUGAGAAACUUGAGUGCAGGAGAGGAGAGUAGAAUUCCUAGUGUAGCGGUGAAAUGCGUAGAUAUUAGGAGGAAUACCAGUUGCGAAGGCGGCUCUCUGGACUGUAACUGACACUGAGGCACGAAAGCGUGGGGAGCAAACAGGAUUAGAUACCCUGGUAGUCCACGCCGUAAACGAUGAGUACUAGCUGUCGGAGGUUACCCCCUUCGGUGGCGCAGCUAACGCAUUAAGUACUCCGCCUGGGAAGUACGCUCGCAAGAGUG
rnacentral:rRNA from 1 species